UCAUCGAUUGCUAGCGAGUGAAGUUGUUACAUUUAAUAUCAAUGUCAUUUUUUUGUCGAAAAUGUGAAUGAGUCUUGAUUGAGUCAGGUCUGAAUGAUAGGCUAAAUCAAUAUCUGUAAAUGACAUUUUGAGGAGUAAAACAGAAAAUUUCUAUAUAUAUUUACCAUCCAAUUGUUAUUCUAAUUAUCUAUACCAAAAUAUAA
rnacentral:lncRNA from 1 species